rnacentral:rRNA from 1 species
AUUGAACGCUGGCGGCAGGCCUAACUCAUGCAAGUCGAACGAGUGGCGGACGGGUGAGUAAUGUCUGGGAAACUGCCCGAUGGAGGGGGAUAACUACUGGAAACGGUAGCUAAUACCGCAUACCAUCGGAUGUGCCCAGAUGGGAUUAGCUAGUAGGUGGGGUAACGGAACACCUAGUCGACGAUCCCUAGAUGGUGUGAGAGGAUGACCAGCCACACUGGAACUGAGACACGUUCCCGACUCCUACGGGAGGCAGCAGUGGGGAAUAUUGCACAAUGGGCGCAAGCCUGAUACAGCCAUGCCGCGUGUAUGAAGAAGGCCUUCGGGUUGUAAAGUACUUUCAGCGAGGAGGCGUUACUCGCAGAAGAAGCACCGGCUAACUCCGUGCCAGCAGCCGCGGUAAUAC